GCUGGCCCUCCGGCGUCGCUCCCUUGUGCCUGGCUUCGGCUCUUGAGCGAGCACGUGUGCAGCUCCGGGGGAGCCCCGAGCCCCUGGCAGGCCUGUGCCACAUGCCCCCGGGAUGGGGGCCGGGGUUCAGGGCACCGUGACAACCGCGCUCUCUGUCUCUCAGCUCCAGAGACGCAAGAUCAAGUGCCGCGUCCUGUCGGCUGGAGUGACCGUCCUGCUGGUCAUCAUCCUCACCACUGCCACCUCCAUCCGAGAGUAAUGCCCCCGACGGUUGAUGCUGGGACCCAGGAGAGUGUCCCACCCACUGCCUCCCACCAGUGCGCUGGCCUCGCCACCACGACAUCCGCGUCCUGUCCCAAUGAACUGCCCCCCUCAGUUCGCCACGGCGCCGGUCUCCAUCCAUCGGAGUGAAGCCGACGUGUCCUUCAAAGCUCCAGCACGUCUCCAGGUG
rnacentral:lncRNA from 1 species